rnacentral:lncRNA from 1 species
AACAACCCACGGUUCCUUUAUUUUCCCAACUGCUUAUAAUUCAACUUGCGCACAACAAAAAAACCCCCUGUGACUCCAAUUUCCUUUUCUUCUGCUUCAAUUCUAGUUCUACGUUUAAGUACGUUGGUUAAAUCUUUAACGUUUCCGAAAGUUCUUUUCCAGAAGCACUUCUCAAGUGCUUAUUCAAACAAAAAGCACAUUGGUCCUGCCUAAAGAGUACCUAAAUUGGUUGGGUUUUGUUUUGUGUGUGUGUGUGUGUGUGUAAAUAUAAGAGGUGAUGAAAUGGAGGGCGUGACAAAAUGACUGUUACACGAUGACUGUCGAGGUGAAUAAUCUAAAUUUAUGCAAAAUGCUUUUGUUGUUAGAUUCCUAGUUUUCACCGAAGAAGCAGCAAACACAUAAAUAAUAUCAAAAAAUGGUUAAAUUAUAAGGACACUUUUUUUUUUUACGUUAAACCCAAAUAUAUAUAUAUAUAUAUAUAUAUAUAUAUAUAUAUAUUUGCAUGUAUAUAUGUAUACUCUUAUGAAAUGUGUUUCCAUACAUAUAGUGGAUUCUUUUAAUAACCAAUUACAAUGGUACCAUACACAUAUAGCUAAGGAGAGCAGCAACUUUGAUUAGAGAAGUGGGUUAAUAAAAGGAAAUUAUUCGAAAUUGACAACACCGCAACUCUUAUAAAUAAUGGUGACUGGAUCGACUCUGGACCACUCCUCUAAUUUUAUUUAUUUAUUUAUUAUUAUUAUUUUGUUGUUGUUGUUGUACGAUUUCAUCAUCACUUUUAAUUUUGUGUUUGCUGCUGCAAUUUGACAG